rnacentral:misc_RNA from 1 species
GUUGAACAGUUUCUUGAUGUUGCAGUUGAAGCUGCUAAAAAAGCUGGAGAGAUAAUUCGCGAAGGAUUCUACAAGACUAAGCAUGUAGAGCACAAAGGAAUGGUGGAUUUAGUCACAGAGACUGAUAAGGCAUGUGAAGAUUUCAUUUUUAAUCAUCUCAAGCAACGCUUCCCCAGCCAUAAGUUCAUUGGUGAAGAAACAACUGCUGCUUGUGGAAACUUUGAGCUGACUGAUGAACCAACUUGGAUAGUUGAUCCACUUGACGGAACCACUAACUUUGUGCACGGGUUCCCUUUUGUCUGUGUAUCAAUCGGUCUCACAAUUGAAAAGAAACCAACAGUUGGUGUUGUUUACAACCCAAUUAUCGACGAGCUUUUCACCGGUAUUGAUGGGAAAGGUGCUUUUCUCAACGGGAAGCCUAUCAAAGUAUCUUCACAGUCUGAACUCGUGAAGGCUCUUCUUGCUACAGAGGCUGGAACAAACCGGGAUAAGUUAGUUGUAGAUGCUACAACAGGGAGAAUCAAUAGCUUGCUUUUCAAGGUUAGGUCCCUUCGUAUGUGUGGUUCUUGUGCAUUAAAUCUCUGUGGAGUUGCGUGUGGAAGGCUUGAUCUCUUCUACGAACUUGAAUUUGGUGGCCCUUGGGAUGUUGCAGGUGGUGCUGUGAUUGUGAAAGAAGCUGGAGGGUUCGUGUUUGAUCCAUCUGGUUCAGAAUUCGACCUCACAGCUCGACGAGUAGCUGCUACAAAUGCUCAUCUCAAGGAUGCAUUUAUCAAGGCCUUGAAUGAAUAAGAAUGAGAAACAUGGAAUGAAGAUACCUUCGAUUUUUUACUUGUUUACUAGUAUAGUUUUUGCGCGAUGUGCGGAUAAUAUUGAGAGAAAAAACUAUCAAUGAUGAAUGAUUUUCUUAUUUAGUUGAUCAUCUUAAAUUUUAUUAUUUGGUCAGUUAUGAAGGCCACCAAAAGGAAGGGGAAGAGCCAUUUUUUCCUUGUUGAAUUAUUGUAAGAUUUUGUGUUAUGAUUAAUAAGAUAUCACAG